CCGGAACUGCUUUUUCGUCGAUCGUCGUCUCAGGUGGGACGCCAGACCCGACCGUGUGCUUGGUUGCCGGCUUGUCGUUGCUGACACGCAUAUUUAGUUUCCCUCCUCUUCUUCCUCCUAUUCCUCCUCUCGGACUGCGCAGUCGCUUUCGUGGGCAUUCUAGAUAUACAUCAUAAUUUUUGGAAGCUCAUCGUUGGUUUUCGCAUCUUUCCCUGUCCUUUGCGCUUGUGUCGCCUGCUUCGUGGCGCGUGGCCGUUCUGGGUCAUAGUGUGGAUUCUCUCUGCGCAUAUCGUGCAGUGUUGGGUUUCUUGACGUGCUUUUAGAUAAGCGAACAAAUAGUCAGCGUGUGCUAGGGGAUGCUACUCGUGCAAAGGGUUUUUUAUUUUUAUUUUUAUUGUAUCGGCUUUAAAAAAAUUGUUACGUUUUCCGAAUCACCGUCCAAUUUGCGGAGCUGAGCGUCCUUCACGAGCCGUCUUUCCUUUCGUAUCGUCAAUCUCAUCUGAAGUUAUUUCGGAGGAGCGGGAUUUAUGUGUGCGCACCCGUCUUGGCAAGAGUAGAUGAUGGAUGUCAGUGGAAAGCAGAGAAUGGCAGUUUGAAAAGCUGAGCGGCAGAUUUUGAUGUUUCACAGGUGAAUGAAACUCUCGUGUAGAGUAGCACGCGACAGUUCGCAGGAAAGACAGGGAAUCCUUUGAGUUGGCAAAGUAUGUUGUUCUUGUGAACUCGGAACCUUCGAUUUGCACCUGGGUUUACCAAAAUCCCUAGAGGAGAUUACCUCCUUAGAAUCUGGCAUCGAUUCGAAGGAUCCGAUUUUGUAUUCCGUUGAAUCAUUUUAAUUUAGGGUGUAUUCUCAAGGUCACGGUUUCGAACUGAAAGGCGAUCUCUACAGUUAUUUCAGCGGUUGCUUCUGCAUCCUGAAGAUACAGGAUGAUUCUUUGCAUACGGUAGUGAAUGGCAAGUGGAGGGGCCAUGGAUUUAAGAGAGUGGAAGCUUGCGAGGCAAGAAGCGGCGCUGAAGGAGAAGGAGACGGAGGCAAAGAAAGUGGCAUGGACCAACUUCCCCAAGGACCUGAUGCUGGGAGCGUUAAUGGGUGGGGUGGCGCAUACUAUUGUGGCGCCGGUGGAGAGGGCCAAACUGCUCCUGCAAACCCAGGACAGCAAUAUGGUUGUCAUCGAUGGCAAGCACACGCGCUACAAAGGACUAUUAGAUUGUAUCAUGAGGAUCGCUAAAAAUGAGGGCGUCCUCUCUUUGUGGCGCGGCAACGUCAGCAGCGUUCUUCGUUACUAUCCUUCUCUUGCCAUCAAUUUUGCCUUCAAGGAUUUUUAUCGAGUGCUAUUGACUUCUGGUCGAACUGAAGGGAAGGGCACUUUGAGCAAUGCCCCGGCCAAUUUCCUCGCAGGUGCGCUGGCUGGUUGCACUAGCUUGGUCUUCGUCUACCCACUCGACAUUGCUCACACACGUAUUGCAGCCGACAUCGGCCGUGGAAGUAACCGGCAAUUCCAAGGCCUUGGUGAUUUUUUGCGAACCAUUUACAGCAAAGACGGCAUUCGCGGCGUCUACCGUGGAUUCCCCGCAUCUGUUCAUGGUAUGGUAGUACACCGGAGUGUUUACUUCGGUGGGUUUGAUACCAUGAAAGAGUAUCUGUCUCAGGACACAUAUUUAUCCUUCUGGAAGCGGUGGUUGAUAGCUCAGGGAGUUACUACAUCUGCUGGUCUCAUCUCCUACCCUCUUGAUACCGUGAGACGGCGAAUGAUGAUGCAGGCGGGUCUCGAGAAGAACAUGUAUAAUAACACGUUAGAUUGUUGGAAGAAAGUCUACCGUCAUGAGGGAGUUAUGGCCUUUUACAAGGGUGCGGUGACAAAUUUGGUUCGUGGAACGGGGGCAGCUCUCAUCCUCGUUCUCUACGACGAGAUCCGAAACUACAUGCAUUGGACUGGCCCUGCUACUUUAGAACAUCGCCGUGAAUAGUCAGCUGUGUGCGUUUUUGAAUGUCGUUGAGGAGCUUUUCUGAUAAUCUCAAUUGCCAAGAUAUAGAGCACUUCAACAUCAGUGAUGUGUGGUUUGAGCCAAAACAUAUCACAGUAUUUUUCGGGAAGGCGACGAAGCGUUGCAUCGAGACAUGCCAGAAGAAUGCGUCUUGAGUUCCUAAACAGAAUCAUUCGAGUGUUAUUGAUGGUGGACCUGUAUUAACUUGCCUGAGGUAUACUCUAAUGGACAAGAUCGGUGAAUUGUUUGAAUUACCUCAUGAAACUCUGGUUGAGCCUGUCUUGGGCGCUAGUUCCGCAAGUUCAGAGGUCAUUGUAUUCUCAAUUCUUAGCAGUGUAAUUCUGGUUAGUCACGUAUUACUAAUUUUUUGUUCCCAACAACAAAUCAUUAGGAUGGCAUGAUUCACGGGUUGCACGUCCGUUGAAGAUCUCUAAACGUCUAUCUUAAUUUUCAGGCAUUAUUUCAUCCAUCACUUGUAUGUGGUGUUUUGGCUGAAGAUAGUUUAGAUAACUUCCUGCAUGUUUUUGUUUUAAGCUUCAGAUUCAACAUGACUAUAUAAUGCUCCACAUAGAGCAGUGUUCACUGGUGUCUGGCACUGUAGUUCUAAGCGUUUUUGAGCAAUGAAUCCAAUGUCCGGGCUUUGCAGAUAUUGAAGUUGUUUUAACGUCUUGUUGAAUCCAGUCAAUGUAGGUGUCCAGGGAAGCUUUGCGAAUACCCCUUGAUGAGGAGAGCAUGUGAAUACGAACGAAAUUGCUAUGUUUCUAAAGCUCUUGAGGCGCUAUUUGCCUUUUAUGUUUUCUGCCAAAGGGACAUGAUUGGCUGGGACGAUUAUAGUAGGCUGGAUUUGGUUUGAAAGCAUCCUCAAUGUUUGAACAUUCCUAGUUUCAAGUUGGGGAGGAAAAUUUCUAAGGACACCUCAUGAGGAAGGGCACGUUAAUUGGAACUUGGAAGCAGAGUAUCUUUGAAGACGAUCGGAGGGUGAAAUGUAACAUAACUUUCAGAACACUCUUUGUGGGUGACUGAAAUGUACCCUUACUUGAGUUCUUCACCAAGUUGCGGAGGACUCUUUUGAAAUAUCCGGAGGCAUUGUGAACUGAUUUAACAGGCAGGUUUACCUAUUACAACUUUUUACUGCAAAACAUGAAGAUAUGAAGGCUUGAUAACGAAAUUAUCCAGGUAGCCCUCAGCCUUCGUUGGGCAGGUUGAAUGUGAAUUAAAAAAACUGGUUGUCAGUAGUUAGUACUUAUUAUGAGGCAUUUUGAUUAACAUCACCAUACCCAGCACAUCGAGAGUACAUCGCGCACUUGUAAAUCUUCUCAUUAUUUAAUAAACUGAUGAUUUCUUUUCCCAA